rnacentral:rRNA from 1 species
GAUGAACGCUGGCGGCGUGCCUAAUACAUGCAAGUCGAGCGAACAGACGAGGAGCUUGCUCCUCUGACGUUAGCGGCGGACGGGUGAGUAACACGUGGAUAACCUACCUACAAGACUGGGAUAACUUCGGGAAACCGGAGCUAAUACCGGAUAAUAUAUUGAACCGCAUGGUUCAAUGGUGAAAGACGGUUUUGCUGUCACUUAUAGAUGGAUCCGCGCCGCAUUAGCUAGUUGGUAAGGUAACGGCUUACCAAGGCAACGAUGCGUAGCCGACCUGAGAGGGUGAUCGGCCACACUGGAACUGAGACACGGUCCAGACUCCUACGGGAGGCAGCAGUAGGGAAUCUUCCGCAAUGGGCGAAAGCCUGACGGAGCAACGCCGCGUGAGUGAUGAAGGCCUUCGGAUCGUAAAACUCUGUUAUUAGGGAAGAACAAAUGUGUAAGUAACUAUGCACGUCUUGACGGUACCUAAUCAGAAAGCCACGGCUAACUACGUG